CGAGAGGCUGGCGCGGGCGAACGCUUCGCCAACCCGGUCAGGUCCGGAAGGAAGCAGCCGCAACGAAUUCCGUUCGGGUCGCUGUCCAGUCUCUCACCU
rnacentral:SRP_RNA from 1 species